rnacentral:lncRNA from 1 species
CUAAGGACUCAGGUGUAUCUGGAGCAUUUAAUGAGACAAAUUAGAUAGCACAUGUCCUCUGUAUGUGUCUGUAGUACCAAGUUAAAUUACACAUCAUCAUGGAAUUUAAAAAAACUGGAGACAAAGAGAAGAUCCAACAAACUUUCAGAGGGAUAAGAAAAAUUGGUUUCAUAAACUAUUUUCCAAAAAAAAAAAGAAAAGAAAAAAUAGGGACAAAAUGUCAUUAGAGGGCUGGGGUGGUGGCUCAGUGGUAGAGCGCUCGCCUAGCACAUGCAAGGCCCUGGGUUCAAUCCUCAGCACCACAUAAAAAUAAACAAAAUAAAAUUAAAGUAUUGUGUCCAACUACAACUAAAAAAAAUGUCAUUAGAGUUAUCAAGCCUAGAAAUGGUCCAUUAGUGGAACAGUGCCUUCUGAGGAAAGAGUAUUUCCUGCCUAUAAUUCUGUACCCAAGCUAUCAAAAACUAAGUAUGAAAAAGAAUCAAACAUGUCCUGACGUGCAGAGUUCCAAAAAUGGGGACUGUCUUAUCUCCCAUCUCAGAAAGCUGCUAAAGGAUAUGCUCCACCAAAACAAGGGAGGAAACCUAGGAAGAAUAAGAUUGAAACAGGGAUUCCAACACAAGGGACAGGUGACAGGAAGAUUUUUCCAUGCUAAAGGAAAAAAUCACAGGUGGACGGCAAGCAAUAUGCCAAGCAGAAGAAGAGGCAGCCUGUUCAGACUGAAGCUGGUCUGAAGACUUGAGGGAAGAUUUAUUCAAGGUGAUAUUGGUGGUAUUAUUUUUUUUUAAAUAUUAAGAGGAGGUUUCCACAAUUGGGGGAGAAUGAGGGAUUGAACUAGUGAUAAGAGCCAUAAAUAUAGCUGAAUAAAUGGCAGAAAGUCAUGAUAAAUUUUGGUGGAGCUGUGGAGGAAAG